rnacentral:piRNA from 1 species
CUAUUUCUCGGUGCCAAGCAUGU